ACAGGAUUCCCCUAGUAACGGCGAGUGAAGCGGGAAAAGCUCAAAUUUGUAAUCUGGCACUUUCAGUGUCCGAGUUGUAAUCUCGAGAAGUGUUUUCCGCGCCGGACCGCAUACAAGUCUGUUGGAAUACAGCGUCAUAGUGGUGAGAACCCCGUAACUGAUGCGGAUGCCCGGUGCUUUGUGAUACACUUUCGAAGAGUCGAGUUGUUUGGGAAUGCAGCUCAAAUUGGGUGGUAAAUUCCAUCUAAAGCUAAAUAUUGGCGAGAGACCGAUAGCGAACAAGUACCGUGAGGGAAAGAUGAAAAGCACUUUGGAAAGAGAGUUAACAGUACGUGAAAUUGUUGGAAGGGAAACGCUUGAAGUCAGACUUGCUAUUUGGAAUUCAGCCGCAAGGUGUACUUUUCAAUUCGCAGGCCAGCAUCAGUUUUUGGGGGUGGAAAAGGGUAUUGAGAAGGUAGCAGCCUCGGCUGUGUUAUAGCUCUUUACUGGAUUCAUCUUUGGGGACUGAGGAACGCAGCACGCUUUUUGCAAGGCUUUCGAGCUUUUCGUGCUUAGGGUGCUGGUGGAAUGGCUUUAAACGACCCG
rnacentral:rRNA from 1 species